rnacentral:rRNA from 1 species
CGAUAGCGUAUAUUUAAGUUGCUGCAGUUAAAAAGCUCGUAGUUGGAUUUCGGGUGGGAAUGGCCGGUCCGCCGUUUCGGUGUGCACUUGCUACGCCCACCUUGCUGCCGGGGACGUGCUCUUGAGUUCACGCUCGGGACACGGAGUCGGCGAGGUUACUUUGAGUAAAUUAGAGUGUUCAAAGCAGGCCUACGCCCUGAAUACAUUAGCAUGGAAUAACACGAUAGGACUCUGGCCUAUCUUGUUGGUCUGUAGGACCGGAGUAAUGAUUAAGAGGGACAGUCGGGGGCAUUCGUAUUUCAUUGUCAGAGGUGAAAUUCUUGGAUUUAUGAAAGACGAACUACUGCGAAAGCAUUUGCCAAGGAUGUUUUCAUUAA